CUUUAAAUGGUACUAUUGCGGAGGAGAGUGCACAGCGCGCCAUCUCUCGAUACUUUUUUUCUCUUAUUUUUCUUCUAACAAUCCUUUCCUCUUUUUUAACAAUCAAGACGCACGAUAGUUUCGAUACAGAGUAGUUUUUUACGAAAAGUGUUUCAACGACGGAGUGUUUUGAGCAUUUAGAUGUUUAUCGAGGUGUGCGAAAAUUGAUCGUAUCGCGGGGAUACGUCGAAGCUUAACGCCGUUUGAGGUUAUAACAGAUACACGGACUGUGACGUUGAGUGUGUUGAUCGAAUUUAACACGGGUAUUAAUUCAUACGUGAAAUUUAAUACAUAGCUCUAGUUCUUUUUAUCGGUAUAUAUGAUGAUAAAAUUUGAAAUUAAUGUAACGUGAAAAAAGAAAGUGUACAUCGAGAGAUUAAACUUGUUCGUUGAAACUCGUCGAAUUUCGAUCGAAAGGAUCGGAGGGAAAGAGGAGACGGUCAAUCCAUCGAUCAUUCGUUUGACUUUCCACGCGUGCUCCCGGCCGGAAAUAGAAAAUAGUCUCGUGCCUGUUUGCCGAUCGUGUUUGCGCAAGCUGACCCUUCUCCUCUCCGAGAGUUUCUGAAGAGGUCCUUCUGAAGGAUCGAGCACCUCAGCAGAUGUUUAUUUUGACGCGACCGAGUCACGAUUCCUCGAGUGCUACAAUCUUUGCUACGAUAUUCCUCUUGUCCAACAACAGAGGGCCACGUAAUUAACCAUUCUUUCGCUCGAAAAGCAACUCUCAUUCGUUUCUUUAUCCAUGCUCGAUUUCGUAAUAAUUAACAAAGAUAUCGAUUUGUUCAUUCCUUUAAUCGAAAAGUGUACAAGUGUUCGUUUCUUUGUCGAGACAAUCGUAAAAUAAAAAAGAGUUUUCCAUUUUUUUCCGAGAAAGAAAUUUCAAUCCCGCUUUUCCAUCAAUUUCGUCCAAUUUUAUCCGUUUCCGAGUGGAACGAAAGGGAGCAUCCGGGCUGUGCGAAAAGAAAGAAGGAAUCGGCGAAGGAUGGGGCACAAAGAGGGGGAAAAAAGGAGAGAAAAAAGAAGAUAGCGGAUCGGAAGGAGCUUCCUCGAGGAGAGGCUCGAUUACACGGUUACUUUGUCUUCUGUGAAUGGGGAAGGACGCUGGUCAUGGUGAUCGUGCAGCAGCGAGGAGGACGAGAAAAAUGGCAUAAGCGCGAAACCGCACAAAAGAGGACUCGCCACGGUUUUACCUCGUCUCGCAACGGUUACUUUCUCUCGUCCCUCUCGUCUCGAAUUGAAUUCUUUUAUUUAUCUCCCUCGUAUUUACGAGUAUAGAAGGUAAACAGUUUGCCCGUAAAGAAAGACGUGUUUCAGCCAUGAUCAAUCGGAAUAUUCGAGUUCCCUCUCUCUCUCUCAUUCCUUUCGCUUAAUUUAAUUACCGCUCUCUUCUUUGUUCGAUUAUUUUUCGCAGUCUCCCCCCUCCUUCACAUUUUUUGUGAUUCCAUUCGACGUGAAUGCAAAAAACUCGUGACUAAAGACUUUCUACCAAAGAUUCCUGCCAAGAAUCUUUAAGUAAUUGGAAAGAAAAAUCAGAACGAUAUUAAUAACAAAUCUUGGAGGAAUUCAAUCGAAUGUAGAAAGAAGGAGGCAGUUGAAGGAAAGGAGAUUCCACGCCAGUGCGCACGGUCGAGAAGGAGGAGGGGGAUCCUUUCUCGAGGGAGGGAGAGAGAGAGAGAGGUCGGGCGAGUUUUUUUUUUUCUUCUCCACCGGUAUCGAUUCAAGACGGCGUAUAAUUCGAUAUCGAUACCGUAAUCCUAUAUGUAAGAGGCACACGCAAGGUCUCGUCACGUUGAUCGGCGACCACGCGCGUCGGUUGACAAUGGUUGUCGGCGAUACGCGGUGGCCGGCCGAUAACGGUCCGCCUUGUACGGAUGCUGACCGGAUUGCUGGAUCGGUGGAGCGAAUUCGCGGUGUCACGGAACAUUAUUUCAACGCGCCUGCCUUUGCCAAUGCCGUCGCAAUCCCGCCAUGGGAUUGAAACACGGUUUGCUUCGUAAAGAUAUUUCUCGUAAAAUUAUUUAUCUAUUUUUACACCGUUCUCUUAUUUCUCGUCGCGAAGAUUUCUUUCUUAUCGAUCGAGGAAUCUCGUCAAUCGGUCGGAAAUUCACGGAGAGGAAAAUUGUGAGGAAAGGAAAGGAGAGCAGCACGUGCUCUCGGGAUCCCGUGCGUUUCCUUACGCCAGCUGCAAAUAUCGUGCGACGGGAAUCCGACGAAAUCCACGCGCGCUGUGCACGCAUGCAGAGUGCGCGGGUCCCAUCUGGCGUGUGCGUGACCUCCUUGAAUUAUCGCGGCCCGACACUUUAGAAACUCCAAACUUUGCCCAUUUCCUAUUUCGCUCGCAUACUCUUUCGAGAACCCGGCGUUUAUUUAUAACACACCGGCAUUGUCAUUCAAAUUACUUGGCAACUGGCGUGUGCUAAGUUGAUUAAACGAAAACCAGGGGAAUAAGAAUAACCGAAUCUUCGUCGGUUAUGGUUAUCAGAAAUAAAACGAAACGAAACGAAACGAGAUAUCGCUCGGGAGGAAGAAGGAUGGACGACGGUGGGCGCCGCGACGACGAUUAUCGAUCGAACCGUGCCGAGAGCACCGCCUCUCCCCUCCCUUUUUUCCUUUGUCCCCCCGCUUUCCACUCGCGAAAACGCUUCCCUCCCCCGGAAUUUCACGCGUCCGCGUUUCGUCCCCGCGCGGACGACGAGGGGAGCGACGACCCUAUCCCUCCACUCGGCCAAUCGCGGCGCGUGCACGCCCAGUGACGUCACGCGCACCCCUCCGCACGGUAAUUAGCCAAUCCCAUCGCCGUUUGCCCACCGACCAACCCCUGCCCCGAUUAUAUUUACGAGCCAAUGAUUUCCUCCCUUUCUCUUUUCCUUUCUUCCUUCCUUCCUUCCUCUCUUUUUUUAUUUUAACCGUGUAAGUUGCAAAAAAAAAAAGAAGAAAAAACAGGAACACCCUGUUUCUGCACACCCUUCCAAUAAUCCUCUUUACCAUCCGAGUUUUCGUGAAAAACCCGGAUGGGUCCGAAUAGAUCCUUGACGACGAUUAAAAUUUCCUAACUGUUAAUAAUAUCUCUCGCUUGCGUGAGGGAUAUUGUUGCUGGAAUCCCUGGCUAAAAAAAAAAUAAAAGAAAGACGGGAGGGGAGAAAGGGCACAAAGGCUGAGAAGGUCCGCUCGAGGAGGAGGAAGAAGAAGAGGAAGAUCUUCGGUAGAUAGCGAUUACACGAGGAUGGACACAGAAAAGGAGGCGAGGAAACGAUGACGAGGGGACGGUUUCGAUGACAAUAAUAAAAAGACGCGUAUCAUCGAUUCGUAGGUGUGCUCUCGAGUAUCGCUUUCUGCUAAGUUGAGGGAUAAUCCGCUUAGGCCUUUCGAGAGGGGGAGGGGGGAGAAGAGGCCGGCUAGGUCUUUCGUCUUUGCAUUGUUGCCGGCGUUUUGUGAGAAAACAGCAUUUUCGACGCUCGAGGUGGCGACAAGAACAGGGCUUAACUUAUCUCCGUCACAACAACGAAGACCCACCCUCCCUUUCCUACGUUUUUUCUCCUGCACCUGAUUCGUUCCUGAGAAUCUAUCCGAUCCGAAUAGUUGGUGAAUUUAAUUAGAAAAAAUUCACGAGUCAAAUUAAAUUUGAUGAUUAAAUGAAUUAUUCGAUGCGUUUUUUUAACACAAAAAGGGGGGAUAUCGAGUUGCAACGGUAUUCGAAGCGAUAACCCUCUUAAGCGUUCGAUAUUCGUGAUCGAUGAAGGGGUUGCACGGCCACCCCUCCCCUCCCCUCGAAUAAUCCCAUGAAUACAUAAUCUAGAUGCAAACAGCCGCCACGCGUGGCCCGUUUUAGAACGACCGUGAUAUUUCACGGAUUAUGAAUAUUUGCGCUUCGUUUCACGGUAUCUCGAUCUCUCUAUUCAGAAAUCUCUCUCUUUCCCUUUUUUAUUUUCGUCAUCUCGUGUCUCUUUCGCCGUUUGGAGAAAAAAAAAAAAAAGAAAGAAAAAUUGAUGGAUGAGUUCGAUCGAGUUGAUGGGGAUUUUUUUUUUUUUUGGUUUCGUAAAUUGAUAAAAAAAGACGGAUGAUUCCUAAGAUCGGGGAUGAGAAGGGAUAAAGGUAAAUUUAGAAAAUUUUGUUUCGUAAAUUUUCCGUAGAAUUAUUAUUAUUUUCUUCUUUUUUUCUUAGCUGUCCAUGAACGGUUGUUCGUUCAGUUUGUUCGUUCAACGCGUUGAACGCGGAAAGGAACGCGUGGGAACGAAGAAACUGAUAAAUAGUAUAGUAUAGUAUAGUUAAAGGCAGUAGUAGUAAGUAAGAAUGACAAGCUCGUUGAAUUACAAAAAUUGGAUCGUUUAACGCUCGAUGAGAGAGGAAAAAAAAAAAAAAAUUGUACAUCUUUUUUUUUUCCCCCACCUUACUUCGAUAAAAAAUGUAGUAACUUUUAGCUACGAUUUGCUCUACGAAAGAUGCGAUAAGUAAGAGGGUUUAAAAAAAAA